rnacentral:lncRNA from 1 species
UUGAAAUCAGGGUGUAUUGGCCCUAAGAAAUGUUUAGAUAGUGAAUUUUAUCAAUUUGAUCCAUGAAUCAGUAUUUAGUUGUUUUUUAAUCAAAAGAUAGAGUAAUUUUUGCAGAGAAAUGACUAUGUUCCUUUAAGUAAUUAAAAACAUAGAACAAAGUGUCAGUUGUCUUUCUUUUAAGAAUAAGUACAUUUUAGAGAGGUUUUUUUCUUUAAAAAGUAUUGGAUCUUAAUUAUUUUAUGUAAGCAAAUUUUAGUUCUCAUUUUUGAGAGCAUUAUGUAAACUUCUAGAAUGAGAAGUUUGUUUCUUCUGGUUUCCUUCUAGAUUGAAAAGUAGCAAUCGCCUCAAGAAUUGUUGGGGUCCGUGGUACGUGAGGGAGAUUAAGUAACACAGAGGGUCUUCUAUCUAAGAGCCCCGUGGAUUGCAGCUUGGAGAGCUGGAAGGAAUCACGAGAACCUGCAAUAUGCUAGGUCACAGGGCAGCCUCUCUCCCAGCUUAUUUUAAGGCUCAACUUGCUAUUUGCAUCUUACAGCUCCUCACUCACCUCUGACAACUUGAAGGAACUGGAUACACCUGGAGGUUCAUGGUUUUGCCUCUGAUAUAAACCGCUUAGGUAAACCCCAGCCUGUGCUGGAAUUUCUCUUUUUUAAAGUAUCUAAACAGGAAACACAAAAUUGUAAAACAGUAAUAUGAGGAGAUUCUAACACCAGAAGAAAACAGAACUAGAACCAAUAAAAUGGCAAAGCCACUUAUAGCUGACAAAAUCAGUAGUGGGAGGCAUGGAAACCUUUAAUUGCUAUUUGGGGGAAAUGUAUACGGAUUCACGAUUAGAAUAACAGAUAUCCUACUACCGCUUACCAAAGUUGGUGUGCAUUCCUGUUCCCUGAGUUGCCUUUUCUCCAUAAAUGUUUGCUGUUUAAAAUGAAAACCUCCACAAACAUUAAAAAGUAAACUUUUAUUGUCUGAUGUCUUUCUCUAAACUUAUACCACCUUUAUAUUCAGUAUCACUCUGCUCCGUACCCGACAGUUCUCUGUUUAUGUUAUAGGUGCGAUUUCCUCUCCAAUGAUGUCACAAGAACCUUCAAGGAGGGACCACAUUAUGCAGGUGACAUCCUGGUCCAGGGACUGUGCCUAGAAUGCGCCAUCAGCUCUGAAAGGGAGGAGAUUAAGAGCAGGGGCUCCACAGUCCCUGGCUGGGCUCAGGCCUCUGACCAGCAGGGAGACCUGGACAAAGCACUUCAUCUCUGAACCUCAGAUUCCGAAUCUACAAAAUGGGGGUAAGCUGAGGUAAGUGAGGAUUAAAUGACAUCAUCCAUUUAAUAUGUUUAGAAUAAUGUCUGGCACAUAGUAAGUCCCCCGGAACUGCAGAUACUGUCCUUUAUUUCAGUCAUUCAGUGGGCAGACUUGCCUCAGGGCAAAAGUGGCCUGGCCUGGUUCUAGUGACUCCCACCAGGGAGCAGGUCCAUCAACUAGGUAGGAGCAGGUGGCACGUGGGACCAAUCUCUGGUUGACAAAGCGUAAGACUGCAGCAUCACACUUGUAAAUAACCACAACAGGGUC